rnacentral:lncRNA from 1 species
UUGAACAUGGUGCCAAUUUGAUAUGUCAUGAUGAAUGCUUUGUGAAAUGCUAUGUGUUGAUCCAAUUGAUCUGAAAUUUGGUGUGUUUGAUCCUCACAUGUGAUAUGAUUUUUGAGCUUUGGUUUGAGAUUUUUAUCAUAUGCUAUCACUGUUUUGGACACAUGAUGAUGUAGUGUGACAAUUUGUGUCACAUUUUGGUAUUCAAUUUGUG